CCUACGGGGGGCAGCAGUGGGGAAUAUUGCACAAUGGGGGAAACCCUGAUGCAGCGAUGCCGCGUGGAGGAAGAAGGCUUUCGGGUUGUAAACUCCUUUUAUCAGGGAAGAAAAUGACGGUACCUGAAGAAAAAGCUCCGGCUAACUACGUGCCAGCAGCCGCGGUAAUACGUAGGGAGCGAGCGUUGUCCGGAAUUACUGGGUGUAAAGGGAGCGUAGACGGGCCGGCAAGUCAGAUGUGAAAAUUGAGCGCUCAACGUUCAAACUGCAUUGGAAACUGCUGUUCUUGAGUGAAGAAGAGGUAG
rnacentral:rRNA from 1 species